ACGUCACAGUUCCUUCGAUACGCAUAACAACGAUCCCACUGGGGACAAACAAAAGUAGCGUCGUCUCCACCGACCCAGUUGUCAGUGGCAACAUAUAGGAAUCGUGUACAUUUCUUCGUUUCUUCUUUGCUGUUUUCAGUGAGUGUUUUGUUUUCUCUUUGUCCUUGAUCUCGACGAUGUUGUCGUGCUCAUUACCUUACUGAGACGUCUCUUGUGACUGUAGCCAGUGUCAUGGAGGAUUUUAUUGGCGUGACAAGGUAGAUCGCCGAGAUCGAGCGUGAAAAACGCUCUGCAUUAGUAGCUCCUGUAGAAUGUUUUCUGGGUUGGCGUAUCCAUGGUCAACAAAACCAAGGUGCAAGACAGCAUGAGAGAUCGUGUAAACGAUGUGAACUCCAAAAGAUAAUCUGGCCAAAUUUAUUGUAACUAGAGAGUGCAAUCGUGCACUGCUUGGGGCCCAUCCCAAUGUCAUCACAUGGCUGUGGUGACUAGUGUAUAUCUAGGAGAAUUUUUCCUCGACUGAUACGGAGUGCAGGUGGAUCGAUUAUGAGAAAUGCGAACAUGUGAAGUUCAAGGCUAGAUGCACUUCACAUUCGGCGUGCGAUCUCAGCGUCUGGGACCUGAUGAAGUCUUGGUUGGAUGAUUAUUCAAGCCUGAUACUACUCGACACACCAAUGUUCAUGUCAAUGUAAUUUUUUCAGAGCUGCACUAUUUACGUGUUGACGCUUACUUCGGUGUUAGCGUGUUUCCCCCGGAUUGUUUCUAUCAUCAUGAUCGUGUGUUCUUGGGCUGAGCGAGCACAUGCACAAGUGUGCAGCUAUAACCCUGUGUAUCUUUGGUUACACUUUGUUCUGCAAUGCAUGUACCUUGUAACAUUAUGUGCUUGCACUGCUUUGCCUGGCCUGCCUAUUUCAGGACCAUUCAGUGCAUUAGACCCAGGUUUGUUUGGUUGCCGGAUGACCUCUUGUUGCGUCGCUCUGUAUUUGUAUUCAUCAAUUUUUGGGCUUGAGAAUUGAGCUGUUGUGUGGUUCCCAAUAUGAAAACAUCAUGCUGGUGCUCUGUGUUUCGAUUAUCGACUGUCGGAGCAGUCCUGCAUUUAUUAGCAGAACGGUCAAUACUGUAGUCUUUU